rfam:Rattus norvegicus chromosome X, whole genome shotgun sequence.
GGGGUUUUAGCUCAGUGGUAGAGCGCUUGCCUAGCAAGCACAAGGCCCUGGGUUCGGUCCCCAGCUCCG